rnacentral:rRNA from 1 species
UACAGAGGUCUCGAGCGUUGUUCGGAUUCAUUGGGCGUAAAGGGCGCGUAGGCGGCGGGGUAAGUCUGGUGUGAAAUCUCGGAGCUCAACUCCGAAAUUGCACUGGAUACUGCCCUGCUAGAGGGCUGGAGAGGAGAUCGGAAUUCACGGUGUAGCAGUGAAAUGCGUAGAUAUCGUGAGGAAGACCAGUGGCGAAGGCGGAUCUCUGGACAGCUCCUGACGCUGAGGCGCGAAGGCUAGGGGAGCAAACGGG